GGAGAGAUGGCCGAGUUGGCUGAAGGCGCUCGCCUGCUAAGCGAGUGUACGCCGUAAAGGUGUACCUCGGGUUCGAAUCCCGAUCUCUCCGCCA
rnacentral:tRNA from 1 species